GACGAACGCUGGCGGCGUGCUUAACACAUGCCAGUCGAACGGUGAUGCUCCAGCUUGCUGGAGUGGAUCAGUGGCGAACGGGUGAGUAACACGUGAGCAACCUGCCCCAGACUCUGGAAUAAGCGCUGGAAACGGCGUCUAAUACUGGAUACGAAACUGGCCCGCAUGGGCAUGGUUUGGAAAGUUUUUCGGUUUGGGAUGGGCUCGCGGCCUAUCAGCUUGUUGGUGAGGUAAUGGCUCACCAAGGCGACGACGGGUAGCCGGCCUGAGAGGGCGACCGGCCACACUGGGACUGAGAAACGGCCCAGACUCCUACGGGAGGCAGCAGUGGGGAAUAUUGCACAAUGGGCGAAAGCCUGAUGCAGCGACGCCGCGUGAGGGAUGACGGCCUUCGGGUUGUAAACCUCUUUCAGCAGGGAAGAAGCGAAAGUGACGGUACCUGCAGAAGAAGCACCGGCUAACUACGUG
rnacentral:rRNA from 1 species